rnacentral:rRNA from 1 species
GACGUAGGGCGCGAGCGUUGUCCGGAUUAUUGGGCGUAAAGAGCUCGUAGGCGGCUUGUCGCGUCGUCCGUGAAAACCCACAGCUCAACUGUGGGCUUGCGGUCGAUACGGGCAGGCUAGGAGUUCGGUAGGGGAGACUGGAAUUCCUGGUGUAGCGGUGAAAUGCGCAGAUAUCAGGAGGAACACCGGUGGCGAAGGCGGGUCUCUGGGCCGAUACUGACCGUGGAGGAGCGAAAGCGUGGGGAGCGAACAGG